UCCAGGGUAUCCUAAUGGACAUGGCAUCUGUCUGGUAAGCGGUAAACUGAGGGUUCGUUUCCCAUCCCUGGAC